rnacentral:rRNA from 1 species
CCUACGGGUGGCUGCAGUGGGGGAUAUUGCACAAUGGAGGAAACUCUGAUGCAGCGACGCCGCGUGAGGGAAGAAGGUUUUCGGAUUGUAAACCUCUGUCUUCGGGGACGAAACAAAUGACGGUACUCGAGGAGGAAGCCACGGCUAACUACGUGCCAGCAGCCGCGGUAAUACGUAGGUGGCAAGCGUUGUCCGGAAUUACUGGGUGUAAAGAGCGUGUAGGCGGGUUAUUAAGUCAGAAGUGAAAUCCUAUGGCUCAACCAUAGAACUGCUUUUGAAACUGGUAACCUAGAGUAUGGGAGAGGUAGAUGGAAUUUCUGGUGUAGGGGUAAAAUCCGUAGAGAUCAGAAGGAAUACCGAUUGCGAAGGCGAUCUACUGGAACAUUACUGACGCUGAGACGCGAAAGCGUGGGGAGCAAACAGGAUUAGAUACCCGUGUAGUC